UCCCCACAAAACGAAUCUCCAUCCUGCACAAUUUUUACAUAAACACACAAAGGUAAGACAAACAAAAUUGCAAUCUGAAAAUAGGUUCAAUUAUAUCCACAAUAAAUUAGUCUGCAAAAGGAUAAAGUUAUUCAGGAGUGCGAGGAAGAUACAAAGGAAAAUAUGAAGAAUUGGCGGACUACAAUUUACAAGGGUGAAAAAAAAAAGUGACAAAAAAAUACCAUUUCCUUCCAAGCUACAGCUUUGACCAAGACUUCAAG
rnacentral:misc_RNA from 1 species